CCAGGCACAGCGAUGGACCCAGGAUGUGAGAUGAUUCCAAUGUACAGCCAAUGAUGAGCAGCUGCUGGGCUGAAGGGACUGGGGCCAUUUUAUACCAGUUGUAGGAUGUUACACAGAAAUGCCUGAAAAGCAAGGAGCAGCUAUCAGAAUGUUUGGUGACACAGCUCCUCCUGUCGUGGUUCCUUCGGCAUGGACUUCACAUUCAGCAGAUCCAUGAGGUGUUCCCUUUCGGAUGAGCUCCAAGGUCUUAAGAGAGCAUCUCUAGUCUGCGUGAGUCCGUCUGAACGACGGUCCUGAGCAAGAACCACCUAUAACCAUCUGCUCAAAAUAACUCAGGGGAAGUCAAAGCUUUCUAUGUGGAAGGUGACUGAAACCACAUACACAGACCACUGCAGCAUUCCUGACAUUAUGGAACUUGGAAAUGAUUCCAAACAUGGCCAUAGCUUGAGUAACAUGUUUUGCUAUGACAAGAACUUGGACUGUAGUCCUUCCCCCUCUCAAGAAUGUGACAUCACACCUUAUCAGAUCCUACGAGUGAGCUACUGACCUCAACCACUGAACUUCAAACUAUGUAAAAACCUAAGGGUUCGACAGACACUUUGAGAGCUUGGGCUGUGGCAAGCUACACUCUGUCAGCCUCUCUUCGACAGGGCCCCACCCUGCUAGCCUUUGAACUUGGAAGCAUCGCCCACAAACACCAGUGCCACCCUCUAGCCUUGAGGGACCAUAUAUGUCUCUGUGAAUCUCCGUUGCAUUGGACAGCUUCUCUCCCAAGAGCUGCUCUUAUAAAAGAGACACACCACAUUUUAAUGAGGCUUCGCUCUCCACAGAGGCCUGCUUCCAUCCUAAUUGAGCAAGUAGACUUUAGUAACUUUGGAACUCACUCACCCCGUGACUAAUACACCCUGUCUACCCAGCGCAUUCCCUGUGAGAUUUGUUCAUGUUGUUCUCCCCCUCCUUAAGCAUUGUGAACCUAGGAAAAAUAUCAUCUCUGUAG
rnacentral:lncRNA from 10 species